rnacentral:rRNA from 13 species
UGAGAACUUUGAAGACUGAAGUGGAGAAGGGUUUCAUGAGAACAGCAAUUGGUCAUGAGUGACUCGGUCCUGAGGCCAGGGGUAAUCCCGCGACGACAUCGUCCAGGCCGAAAGGGAAUGUAGUUAAAAUUCUACAAGCAGGCGGUGGGUAUUGAGUGGCAACACAACUGAACUCAAAGACGUCGGGGCGAGGUCCUGGGGAGAGUUCUCUUUUCUUCUUAACAAAUCGCUGCCCUGGAGGUCUUUGCGACGAGAGAGGGCUAUCGGUUUGGAAGAGCAGCACACCCUUUGUGCUGUCCGGUGCACCUCCUUCGGCCCUUGAAAAUUUGAGGGAAAUCUUAUCGCUCGCCUGGCCGUACCCAUAACCGCAUCAGGUCUCCAAGGU